GGCCCUUCUACCCUGGACGGUAGGAUCUUACCGGAAACUACCUCCUGCUCAGCCUUUAAGCAUUUAUAUAGCUAAGAACCUUAUAGAAGAAAUAUAUGAAUGUUCAGCCUGGCUGAUUUGGAUCCUACCAAAAAGAUACUUUUGGUCACAGGUCAUCCUACUCUCAGAACUUAAUGCUGGAAAGAGCAUGUAUUAUACUCAAUCAAGGACCUAAGGCUGACAGAACAGUCACUACCUCAAAGGUUGACAGUAGCUGCCAGAGGGAAAAAAGCUCUGAAGAAUCCAGAAUCAACAUUUCCGUUCCCUGGUCUGGGUAACUGAACUCACCCUCAACAGGGAACAAUCCCUGACGAGAUCUGCUUGGAGACAUCAAAACUAAGUAGAAGAAUGGAUAGCAAGAGCUGGAUCCUCUUGGUGGCCAUGGGACAGCAAGCUGGAAGGUAUGGAUCCUUCAACCUCAUAUGCCAAACUACACUGGCACUUUUAGGAGAACCCAAUGUACAACAGAUCACCAAUACUGUGUCCCCACCUCCCGCACCAUGCAUUCCACAUUUGUCACCUCAGCCCUCAUUCAUAUGGUCUAGCUUGGUUUGCCUGGAGGGGAAACCCAGACAUUACUUCAAGAAGUCUGAGACCCCAGUUAAAAGCACCAGACUGGCUACAGCUUUUUUUGGGAGGCCAAAUGUGAGAAUACCAGGACACACCUAGUGAAUCCCAGACAAGCCACUGCCUAGACACAUUCCGUAGCAAAACCUUUACCUCAGUCAUUUAUAGUUAUUUUCUUUGUUUAUCCAAAAUGACCUGCCAGUAUUAAGUGGGACCUGAGACCCUUGGGAGGAACCUCUCUGCCAGGAACCUGAACUGACUGAAGAAAAGCACAAAUUCCUCGAGUGGGUCUCUUAAAUAGAUGCCAAGGAAAGCCACUCCCAUCUUGUACCCUUGGCGAGAACAAUACUUGUAUUCUAUGUACUGGUUACAGCAAAUGAUGGCUAUUCAAAAUACACAGCAAUUUCAAGGCGGCCAUUUAUCCAAGGCAAAGUUGAUGCAUCAGCUGUGGACAGGAGGCCAUCUUCAGGUCUAUCAGACUGGCAGCCUCUGACCUACACAGUGACAAGGCAGUUUCUGUGAUCCUUUUUUGCCUAUUAUUGUCCUUCAUCAUUCACCACCAUGAGUCCGUCUGAUUUUUGCAGGUACCAUACAGGUACACUGAAAGGGAUAUUACUAAAGGGGAUAUAACUAACAGGGAGCUUCUGCAUCCUUUAUGACUUUGAAAACUAUCUCU